rnacentral:rRNA from 1 species
CCUACGGGAGGCAGCAGUGGGGAAUAUUGCACAAUGGGGGAAACCCUGAUGCAGCGACGCCGCGUGAGCGAUGAAGUAUUUCGGUAUGUAAAGCUCUAUCAGCAGGGAAGAAAAUGACGGUACCUGACUAAGAAGCCCCGGCUAACUACGUGCCAGCAGCCGCGGUAAUACGUAGGGGGCAAGCGUUAUCCGGAUUUACUGGGUGGAAAGGGAGCGUAGACGGUCCUGCAAGCCAGAUGUGAAAGCCCGGGGCUCAACCCCGGGACUGCAUUUGGAACUGGAAGGCUAGAGUGUCGGAGAGGCAGGCAGAAUUCCUAGUGAAGCGGUGAAAUGCGUAGAUAUUAGGAGGAACACCAGUGGCGAAGGCGGCCUGCUGGACAAUGACUGACGUUGAGGCUCGAAAGCGUGGGGAGCAAACAGGAUUAGAUACCCUGGUAGUC